rnacentral:rRNA from 1 species
CAGCCGCCACGGGAAUACGAAGGGUGCAAGCGUUACUCGGAAUUACUGGGCGUAAAGCGUGCGUAGGUGGUGGUUUAAGUCCGUUGUGAAAGCCCUGGGCUCAACCUGGGAAUUGCAGUGGAUACUGGGUCACUAGAGUGUGGUAGAGGAUAGUGGAAUUUCCGGUGUAGCAGUGAAAUGCGUAGAUAUCGUGAGGAAGACCAGUGGCGAAGGCGAUUCUCUGGGCAGUUCCUGACACUGAGGCACGAAGGCCAGGGGAGCAAACGGGAUUAGAUACCCCAGUAGUCCCUGUCUCUUAUAC